CCCCCGGCGGCCUACACUACGAUGGAUCUGGUUGGAUCCAGAUCCGCCGCCCGCUAGCCACCUUCCUCUCGCACCAGGCCUGGUAGCAACCUCUUCCCGGGUCCCUGGUGGCCGCCCGCCCCUCCGCCGUCGCACCGGUCCUGGCCGCCCAACCCACCCACUCGCGAACACACAUACAAGCCGCGGCUGCAACAGCUCCUCCUGCUACGCGCCUCCCCCCAAUCCCUGCUCACUCGCGGCCCCCCUGGAUCCUCGGCCGGCCGCCCUCAACCACUCCGUGCGGGCGCAGCACCAGAGUCCACAACCCCUCCGCUGUUACGCGCAAACACCGGAUUCGGCUAGCCAACUCCCGGCGCCGUCCCGUCCGGGCUGCUCCACCUCGCCCCGAUCUAGUAUCUCCGACCCCCGAUCUGUCCUUUCUGGUGCAGUGCACAAACCGUUGCACUGCAGCCCACUUCCCAGGUGUGUCCAUCGUCAGGCCACUCCUCGGGUGUCCCGGCGAGGUCCUCCCCUGCGUGGCACCGCAUCAACAGAUCUCAGGCCCCCCUUCUGCCCCUGUACAAGCUGUCACUCCUCCCCUUGCAAUCCAGCCAGCCCGGACUUGCAGUGCACCUGCGCGCAGGAUGCGGUUCCGCGCGUUGCCGUGCAGUCGACGCCUCCGUGCAGUUCACUGACGCGGUCCUCUGACUCGCCUGAGCUGCACGACCUGCACCAGUGUGGCGGCCGGGCACGGUGCGGGCUAGCUGCAGUGUGAAGAGCCCCGAUGUGCAAUUUUUUUAUUCUGAAUUUCAACAAGAUUUUUGCUGUUGAUUUAGUGAAUGCCUCUGCACCCGUGUGCAUUUCGGUGUGCACACACGCACUGCACCGGUGUGAGCAGCUCGAAUGGAGUUCGGAGUCGCAGUGCACUCCGGUGGGGGCAGUGGUGCACUCUGGUCCUGCCGCAGUGCACUCCUUCCCAUUUUUGUGCCAGUUUCAUGGGCGGCUCACCCUUCCGGCUGUGGGAAAUUGCGAUGUACAAGAAAUAGAGACAAGAUGGCAUUAACUUUGUCUUUUGAUGCAAUGUUGUGGUUCAGUUUUGUUUUGUUUGUAAUCUUGAAGUGCAAUUAGCUUUUGGGAGACGUCCAGUGCUCGCUUCCUUGUGUGAUGGGAGUAUACAUGUCUAUAUGUAUGAAUUUGUUGAAGUUCGGGCAAUGUAUUCAUGCAGUUUCAUUGUGGUGCACUUGCAA